UACAGAGGGUGCGAGCGUUGUUCGGAAUUACUGGGCGUAAAGCGCGCGUAGGCGGCUUUGCAAGUCGGGUGUGAAAUCCCCAGGCUUAACCUGGGAACUGCAUUCGAGACUGCAUUGCUAGAGUAUGGGAGAGGGAAGUGGAAUUUCCGGUGUAGCGGUGAAAUGCGUAGAUAUCGGAAGGAACAUCAGUGGCGAAAGCGACUUCCUGGACCAAUACUGACGCUCAUGUGCGAAAGCGCGGGGAGCAAACAGG
rnacentral:rRNA from 1 species